rnacentral:rRNA from 1 species
UACGAAGGGGGCUAGCGUUGUUCGGAAUCACUGGGCGUAAAGCGCGCGUAGGCGGACUGACAAGUCAGAGGUGAAAGCCCAAGGCUCAACCUUGGAACUGCCUUUGAAACUGUCAGUCUGGAGUCUCGGAGGGGAUGGCGGAAUUUCUAGUGUAGGGGUGAAAUCCGUAGAUACUAGAAGGAACACCGGUGGCGAAGGCGGCCAUCUGGACGAGUACUGACGCUGAGGCGCGAAAGCGUGGGGAGCAAACAGG